GGGGGCGAGUUAGGUUCGAUGGUAGUGUAGAGGCGGAAGUAGCGAGCCGAGUUCCAUGUCUCGAAAAAACAUGGCCAUUCAAAAAUAAACGCCAACGAAAAUUACGCUCUAGCCGCUUAAGACGGCUACGUCCUCUUGGUUCCUUCCUGCGGGACCAAACAGGGCGUCAUAAAUGCAGGAUACCUUCUCCUGAAGCCCAUAGGGAAGAAGGGAAACUUAUUGGGCUGGCACCCGGCGGAUCCGGUCCCUGGGAGCCGGCGGGUGUGAGAGUAAAGCAGGGACUACGCUCGUAGAAGCUUCCUCCGGUGCAUUGCCAGACCCGGGUGCAACUCCCGGCGCCUCCACCA
rnacentral:tmRNA from 1 species